AGCUCCAAGAGCGUAUAUUAAAGUUGUUGCAGUUAAAAAGCUCGUAGUUGGAUUUCUGGUACAACGCGCCUGGCCCGCAUUUGUGAGUGCCGGAGCGCGUUUGCCAUCCUUCUAGAAAACGUUUCUACCCGGGUAACUGGGCCGGACUCGCGAUCUAGAUCUUUUACUUUGAAAAAAUUAGAGUGUUUAAAGCAGGCUUUUGCUGUGAAUACAUUAGCAUGGAAUAAUAAUCUAGGACUUCGGUUCUAUUUUGUUGGUUUCUAGUACUGAAGUAAUGAUUGAUAGGGAUAGUUGGGGGUGCUAGUAUUGGCCGGCCAGAGGUGAAAUUCUUGGAUUCGGUCAAGACUAACUUAUGCGAAAGCAUUCACCAAGGAUGUCUUCUUUA
rnacentral:rRNA from 1 species